rnacentral:rRNA from 1 species
AUUGAACGCUGGCGGCAGGCUUAACACAUGCAAGUCGAGCGAGCGGCGGACGGGUGAGUAAUGUCUGGGAAACUGCCUGAUGGAGGGGGAUAACUACUGGAAACGGUAGCUAAUACCGCAUACCAUCAGAUGUGCCCAGAUGGGAUUAGCUAGUGGGUGGGGUAAUGGCUCACCUAGGCGACGCUCCCUAGCUGGUCUGAGAGGAUGACCAGCAACACUGGAACGGAGAAACGGCCCAGACUCCUACGGGAGGCAGCAGUGGGGAAUAUUGCACAAUGGACGAAAGCCUGAUGCAGCCAUGCCGCGUGUGUGAAGAAGGCCUUCGGGUUGUAAAGCACUGUCAGUGGGGAGGCGGUACUCGCAGAAGAAGCACCGGCUAACUCCGUGCCAGCAGUCGCGGUAAUUC